rnacentral:tRNA from 1 species
GCCUGGUUGGCUUAGUUGGUAGAGCAUGUGACUCUUGAUCUCAGGGUGGUGAGUUCAAGCCCCACAGUGGGUG